UGUAAGCGUAUACCAAAGUUGUUGCAGUUAAAACGCUCGUAGUCGGAAUUUGGCAGGUCCGGAUGUGUGCACGUCGUGUGCGCACUUCGCGGGGAUUGCUUUUGUGGUCUUGCGUAGGAUGAGGCACUUUUAUUAGUGAACGUCCUCACGCAACCACUUUUUACUGUGAGAAAAUCAGAGUGCUCAAAGCAGGCAUUUGCCGUGAAUGUAUUAGCAUGGAAUAAUAGAAUAGGACUUGGUUCUAUUUUGUUGGUUUGUUGGGACUGAGUAAUGAUUAAGAGGGACAGUUGGGGGCAUUUGUAUUUCGGUGCUAGAGGUGAAAUUCUUAGAUUACCGAAAGACAAACUGCUGCGAAAGCGUCUGCCAAGGAUGUUUUCAUUGA
rnacentral:rRNA from 1 species